GACGAACGCUGGCGGCGUGCCUAACACAUGCAAGUCGAACGGGGCGAAGGGAGCUUGCUCCCCGAGCCUAGUGGCGGACGGGUGAGUAACGCGUGAGUAACCUGCCUUUCAGAGGGGGAUAACAUCCUGAAAAGGAUGCUAAUACCGCAUAACGUCAGAGUGCCGCAUGGUGCCUUGACCAAAGGAGCAAUCCGCUGAAAGAUGGACUCGCGUCCGAUUAGCCAGUUGGCGGGGUAACGGCCCACCAAAGCGACGAUCGGUAGCCGGACUGAGAGGUUGAACGGCCACAUUGGGACUGAGACACGGCCCAG
rnacentral:rRNA from 1 species